AGAGUUUGAUCCUGGCUCAGAGCGAACGCUAGCGGCGGGCCUAACACAUGCAAGUCGAGCGCGUAGCUUCGGCUACGAGCGGCGGACGGGUGAGUAACACGUAGGUGAUCUGCCCUUUGGUGGGGGAUAACCAGGGGAAACCUUGGCUAAUACCGCAUAUGGCCUUCGGGUCAAAGCCUUCGGGCGCCAGAGGAUGAGCCUGCGUCGCAUUACCUAGUUGGUAGGGUAAUGGCCUACCAAGGGGACGAUGCGUAGCUGGUCUGAGAGGAUGAUCAGCCACACUGGGACUGAGACACGGCCCAGACUCCUACGGGAGGCAGCAGUGGGGAAUAUUGGGCAAUGGGCGGAAGCCUGACCCAGCCACGCCGCGUGAGUGAUGAAGGCCUUCGGGUUGUAAAGCUCUGUGGGAAGG
rnacentral:rRNA from 1 species